AUAUAUACAAUUAAGAUCGUUUUAACGAUUAACUGACAUGAUCAGUAUUACAAGAAUGGAGAUUUGGAGGAGCAUGGCAUUGCUCGAACCUUCACUUGGAGAAUCGACGAUCUGACGAAUGAACCAAAUCUCCGCCAUACAGGACUCGAACUCGAUGAAGCGGCGUUUGUUGAUCUCGUUAUCGAUUCUAAUCAAGAAGACAUCCAAAACUGGCCUUAUGGUUACGUGUUACUUUGGGACCCAUCGGAAAUUUGGAUAUAACAUCUCGUGUAAUAAAUCGCAGCGGGAAAUGUUUCUCAUUCAAAUUUGACUUUCACACCUGCUUUUCUAUCUCAAAUAUUAGGUAAUCGAUGUACUGUUUUUUUCUUUUAUUAUUAUAAAAUGAAAUAAAUUAAUAAUCCCAUUUCCAAUGAUACUGAGAUUGAAGGAUUGGAGACUGUGGAGUAUCUAGACUUUUUGCAGGACGACAAUCGAUUUAUUGAAGGGGAUGAGUCUAUUGUUAUCGAUGAUAAAGUGUGUCUGUAUAAAAAUAGAUUAAUUCUUCUGAUUUUUACCAAUGAUUAUGAAUUUAUACGCUUGUUGACUUGACUUCGAUUUUCGUUUUAGCUGGACAGGAUGUAUCUAGAUACUCCUGAGCAGAUCUCUGUUAGGGACAAUCAGGCUGGAAGAACUUUUACGAUUAGUAAAAGUGUAGAUCUACCUGAUGUUGGUAAAUGUUUAUAGAUAUACAAACUUGAUAGUGAUUUUGUAUUUCAAUGCAACGUAUUAUUUAAUAAAACUUCCGUUAUAAUUU